GGGAGGUAUUAUGGCUGCCAUCUUUAGAAAUUACAAUUUGCCACAGGUUGUGUUCCCUAGAAGCAGAGGUUGAAAUAGGGGUUCUUUUGUGAGUUAAGGAAGAGGGAGAAGCUAAGCGAGGAUGUAGCUUCAGGUGAAGUCCAGCUUCAACCUGAUCUUGUAGGCAGCACUGGAUCUCACAUUGUCUGCAGCAUUUGUCCUUCCUUGAGGCAAAAAAGUGGGGCUUUUGUACACACAUAUCAGUCAACCCUUAGCUUAGGGAAGCCCCAGGGGAAGGGUUGUAACUCCUAGGUAUCUCGUAGACAGGCAACUCCUCUUGCUUAAAGGCAUUUCCCAGACAAGGCUUGCUCUGUGAGCCUUUAAUAGCAGUUAAUAAAAAGAUUGCCAGAGAUCUGAUUGGGACUGCAACAGCCUCAGCUACAUUAAGAUAUGGGGGCACAUUCAAGGCCUGUUUUAUAGAGACUAGCAGAGACCAUAUAAGAAUCACUAACAUGAGCUGCAUACGCUGGAGGCCCCUCUGCUGUCAUUAUUUUAUGUGCUGGAAAACGCUGCGAUGGGAAGACAGCCCAGUCAGAUGGGGAUGGCCUGGAAUAGGAGCCAGGCAGCUAACUAUGGAGGCAAGACACUGAAGUAAU
rnacentral:lncRNA from 1 species